AUUGAACGCUGGCGGCAUGCUUUACACAUGCAAGUCGAGCGGCAGCGCGGGGGCAACCCUGGCGGCGAGCGGCGGACGGGUGAGUAAUGCAUCGGAACGUAUCCCGUAGUGGGGGACAACCCAGCGAAAGCUGGGCUAAUACCGCAUAUGCUCUACGGAGGAAAGCAGGGGACUCGCAAGAGCCUUGUGCUAUGGGAGCGGCCGAUGUCCGAUUAGCUAGUUGGUGGGGUAAAGGCUUACCAAGGCGACGAUCGGUAGCUGGUCUGAGAGGAUGAUCAGCCACACUGGGACUGAGACACGGCCCAGACUCCUACGGGAGGCAGCAGUGGGGAAUUUUGGACAAUGGGGGCAACCCUGAUCCAGCCAUGCCGCGUGCGGGAAGAAGGCCUUC
rnacentral:rRNA from 1 species